CGGGGUGCAGCAGUGAGGAAUAUUGGACAAUGGGCGCAAGCCUGAUCCAGCCAUGCCGCGUGCAGGAAGAAGCAUCUAUGGUGUGUAAACUGCUUUUGUACGGGAAGAAACACUCCGACGUGUCGGAGCUUGACGGUACCGUAAGAAUAAGGAUCGGCUAACUCCGUGCCAGCAGCCGCGGUAAUACGGAGGAUCCAAGCGUUAUCCGGAAUCAUUGGGUUUAAAGGGUCCGUAGGCGGUCUAAUAAGUCAGUGGUGAAAGCCCAUCGCUUAACGAUGGAACGGCCAUUGAUACUGUUAGACUUGAAUUAUUGGGAAGUAACUAGAAUAUGUAGUGUAGCGGUGAAAUGCUUAGAUAUUACAUGGAAUACCAAUUGCGAAGGCAGGUUACUAUCAAUAUAUUGACGCUGAUGGACGAAAGCGUGGGGAGCGAACAGGAUUAGAUACCCUGGU
rnacentral:rRNA from 1 species